GGCCGGGCUCGGGGCCUGCAGGGCGGGCAGCGUGGCGGCGCAGGCCUGGCGUACCGAGCAAAGCAGCGCCCGUACCGCUGAGCGAGCUGAAGCGCUCGCUCCCCCCGCUCGGCAGUGGUAGCGGCCGCCGGGCCUGCCUGGGCCGCGCGGGCCGGGCCGCACCAUUGGAGGGGCGGGGGGGGAGGGCGCGUGGCGCCUCACGGCCCUUGUCCCUCAGGCCACCAUGGAGGCGGCACCGGCACCGCGACCCCGCCAGGACCCCGCCAGGGCCGGGAACGCUCCCCGCAGAAAGAUGUCUUGAAGUAAAGAAGCCAGGCUUCCCACCUGGAUGUGACACAGCAGGACUGGGAACAGCUGGGGAGGUGGCCCUGAUGUGAAGGUAGAGCCUGCAGGUCUGUGCUGCCACGUGCUGGUGGUUGAUGUCCACCCACUGAUGGGACAUCUCUUUCCAAGUCCUGUGGAGGGCUCUGACACAGCAGAGUAUGAGAAUCUGCUGGGUGGUGCUGCUGGAAACAUCUUUGAGGCAGAAGGACUCCAACAAAACACCUGGGCUUGAGGAUUUUGUGUAGACACAUUUUCUGCCUGUUACAAAGUGGUAACAGUUAAAGUGUUUAUUAUUACGUGUACAUUAAAACAAUUUUUUAAAACCCA